rnacentral:tRNA from 1 species
ACUUGAGUAGUUUAUUAAAAUGUUGAUUUGUGGGAUCGAAAAUGUAAUUUAUAUAGAUUACCUUAGGUA